UAUGAUAUUUCCUCGACCGUU
rnacentral:piRNA from 1 species